GACGAACCGUGCAAACGUUGUUCGGAAUCACUGGGCUUAAAGGGCGCGUAGGCGGGCCAGCCAGUCUGUGGUGAAAGCCUCCAGCUUAACUGGAGAAGUGCCGUGGAUACUGCUGGCCUCGAGGAGGGUAGGGGCAUCUGGAACGGUCGGUGGAGCGGUGAAAUGCGUUGAUAUCGACCGGAACUCCGGUGGCGAAGGCGAGGUGCUGGGCCCUUUCUGACGCUGAGUGCGCGAAAGCCAGGGGGGCAAACAGG
rnacentral:rRNA from 1 species